GAGUAGCAAUAUUUUUGAAUCGGAGCGGCGCAAGGGUGCGUAACACGUGGGUAAUUUGCCAUGAAGUCUGGAAUAACUUGCUGAAAGGCGAGCUAAUGCCGGAUGUGAUUUCUGGGGAGCCUUUCCCGGAACUCAAAGUUGGGGACCGCAAGGCCUGACGCUUCUUGAUAAGCCCGCGGCCUAUCAGCUAGUUGGUGAGGUAACGGCUCACCAAGGCUAAGACGGGUAGCUGGUCUGAGAGGACGACCAGCCACACUGGAACUGAGACACGGUCCAGACACCUACGGGUGGCAGCAGUCGAGAAUUUUUCACAAUGGGCGAAAGCCUGAUGGAGCGACGCCGCGUGGGGGAUGAAUGGCUUCGGCCCGUAAACCCCUGUCAUUUGCGAACAAACCUUACCGGUCAACAACCGGUGAGCUGAUUGUAGCGGAAGAGGAAGGGACGGCUAACUCUGUGCCAGCAGCCGCGGUAAUACAGAGGUCCCAAGCGUUGUUCGGAUUCACUGGGCGUAAAGGGUGCGUAGGUGGUGAGGUAAGUCGGAUGUGAAAUCUCCGGGCUCAACCCGGAAAUGGCAUUGGAAACUACCUUGCUAGAGGAUUUGAGGGGGGAUUGGAAUACUUGGUGUAGCAGUGAAAUGCGUAGAUAUCAAGUGGAACACCAGUGGCGAAGGCGAAUCCCUGGAAAAUACCUGACACUGAGGCACGAAAGCUAGGGGAGCAAACAGGAUUAGAUACCCUGGUAGUCCUAGCCCUAAACGGUGCUUGCUUGCUGUAAGAGGAAUCGACCCCUCUUGUGGCGGAGCU
rnacentral:rRNA from 1 species